rnacentral:lncRNA from 1 species
UCUUCUACUCCUACUUCUUCCUCUUCUUCAUAUUUUUCUCCUUCUACUAUUACUACCACAACCAAUUUUCCUUCUUCUUCUUCUUCUUUCAGCCAAAGACGUCAUGCUUGAGCCUGCAAGCAGACCAAGAAGACUUCCGUGGUCUCCUGAAGUAACUUGAGCCGGUUCAUUUCGCCCUCAGGCCCAAAUUCAAUAUCCUGUGCACUUUUGCAACGGCAAGCCACAAAUUGGUUCGUCCCUUUGCUGUAGGUAUGCGGACACAAGAGUUAUAUAUGGCUAGGCGAUGGUCGUCAAAACAAACAGGAAAGGUACGAGAUGACACGUUCUUCUGCCAGACAGCAACGCGACGAUGUUGAAGACUGAUGUUUUUCUUGAUAUUUUCUUCUUAUUCUCUUUUAUUCUUGACCCUGGAAGAAGAAUGUCUUUUAAAUCACUGUCUUAAUGCUUCAAAGUCCAGCGAAAAUAUUUGAUGUUUUUUUUUUUUUCUUUCUUUUUUUUCUUUGUUUUGUAUUGAUAUUAAAAGAAAGAACAGAUAUAAAGACAUGUUUUUCUUAUCAUUUAAUUCCUUUGUAAUUAUGGAAUCUAAUACUCUAUCGAAUCUGUUUUCGAUUUAAGUAAAGGAUCCAUAGGCGAGUCAAGCUAAGAAUAAGAAUGGAAGGAGACGAAGAAGAAGAAUGGAAGGAGACGAAGAAGAAGAAUGGAAGGAGACGAAGAAGAAGAAUGG